UGGGUCGCACUGGGUCGUCCCGGUAGUCUGUCUAGUGUUGUGAACCCUGGUGAGGCCCUGGCAGGACACCCCGUGCCGGACACUGGACAGAGGGCAAAGUGAACUCCGGAGCACAGGUGUCGGUGGCGGGCCAGUGUAAAGUGACCAGCACGUGACGCUAACCAGAGACGCACCGGACAGGAUAGUAGGCCCUUCCCUCCGCUGCAUCCUCACCCCUCCCCCUCACCCCAAACCACCCACCACCACCACACACCACCAAGCACUGCGCCCUCUCCACCAUCAAUUGCACCUGAUGUAACAUAGCAUAACAUAACCAGAGACACGGUACAGGAUUAUAUACGGUUCCUGUUUCCCAUCAUAACUACCACCACUACCUCAAUCUUCAGCAGCCAUCAUUAACCGUACUAUCUUCACCCCUUCACCAUCACACCCAGAAACGCCACAACCAUCAGCAUCCUCUAGACUACCGCACCAUCGCACCAACCCAAACUACCACUACCUCUCCAUCCCUACUAACAUCACCACUAAUCCCCCGCCCCUAUCAACAACAACACUAUUCCCUCAUCUCCACCAACACCACCACUACACUCUCCACCCUCACCGACACCACCAGUACCCCCUCCUCAACCCUCACCAAUACCACCACUACACCCACCACCACCACCACCACGACCAGCACUCAAACCGUCAAUAGUGCACCACCGCAGGCUCCUCUCCUUACCUGCCGCGUCAAGUUUGUCGACGUGGCUAUGGGUGCUAUGAAGCGUCCUUGUGACUCGCCGAUGUCGUUCACACAUUAAAAAAUAAGCGUGAGGCAACAGCAGCACCUACGUCCUUGUUAAAUUUAGCACCGAAACAGGACGCCGAGUUGAACCUUCCGGGGCGGCAGACGGCAGUGUGCCCUCAGACCCCGAGGAAGCGAUAACGCUCCCAGAAGCCACGGAGAAGCCGCUGUUUUAAGUGACUAAGCGGUGGGCACAUCACAAGUCUUCUGUCGGGUAGCAGCGUUCAGCCCUGGAACUGUUGAUGACUACAAGCUUUCACAGUAUCAGAUGAUGGAGUCUUUGCGGGUCAGGUGAGAGCUGCUGCUGUUGAGGCCGCCCGUUGCGUACUGGAGCGUCAAGCGUGGCGGGGAGUGCGUGGGGUACACCUGCCAACCACCUGCCCUCCUCAUCACGCUUCAUAAGUCCUUGGCUCCUCCUCGUCCCGCGCCUCACGACAGCUCCUGAAGUUUGACUGACAACUGGAGUGUGCAAGACCUCACUCUCCAUCAAAGCUGGUACACGAGAUGCUGUAGGGCUAGGACACCUGGCAGGGUCUUCAGUGCACCAUACCUGAAAGAAGUUCAACGAAAUGUCAAAUAGAUAGUUUGCACGCAUUUUCCCAGUAGAUGGCGUUCAUGUCUCUGGACACAUGUGAUCAGGUGUUUGUAUGGCACAGGUGGGCAUUUUCAUAUGUUUACAUGAACAUUAAAGCAAGAAAGUGA